rnacentral:lncRNA from 1 species
UUAGGUUCACGCGUAGUGAGACACCCCUAGAACCCUCAGAGAUACCAGUAAGCAAAAUAAAAAGGGAAAGUUGUUGUUUUUUCAGCCGUGAAGGUGAGCCGGCAGAGUCACCGCACCCGAAAAAUCCCACCACCGGUAGGUCUUCGUUUUCUAAAUUUUUUUGGCCAACUAAGGCCUCCUAACGUGUUUUUUUUACAAAAAUAUGUAAAAAAGUGGCCGAAAUAGCCAAAACUGGC